rnacentral:rRNA from 1 species
AUCCCUGAAAGAUGAUCAGGUUGAUAGGUCCGGGGUGGAAGCGCGGUGACGCGUGCAGCUGACGGAUACUAAUCGAUCGAGGACUUAACCA